rnacentral:rRNA from 1 species
UACGGAGGAUGCAAGCGUUAUCCGGAAUGAUUGGGCGUAAAGCGUCCGCAGGUGGCGAUGUAAGUCUGCUGUUAAAGAGUGAGGCUCAACCUCAUAAGAGCAGUGGAAACUACAUAGCUAGAGUACGUUCGGGGCAGAGGGAAUUCCUGGUGUAGCGGUGAAAUGCGUAGAGAUCAGGAAGAACACCAGUGACGAAGGCGCUCUGCUAGGCCGUAACUGACACUGAGGGACGAAAGCUAGGGGAGCGAAUGGG